rnacentral:rRNA from 1 species
GUGAGUAAUGUAUAGGGAACCUACCUUUGAGACUGGGAUAAUUCCUGGAAACGGGUUGUAAGACCAGAUGGUCCGCAUGGGUCGCAUGGCUUUUGCGGUAAACGGUAGCCCUGCUUCUGCCCAAAGAGGGCCCUAUAUCCUAUUAGCUUGUUGGUGAGGUAACGGCUCACCAAGGCUGUGAUGGGUAGCCGGACUGAGAGGUUGGCCGGUCACACUGGGACUGAGACACUGCCCAGACUCCUACGGGAGGCUGCAGUCGAGAAUCUUCCGCAAUGGGCGAAAGCCUGACGGGGCGACGCCGCGUGAACGAAGAAGGCCUUCGGGUUGUAAAGUUCUGUCGAGAGGGAAGAACCGCCGGCGGUUAAUAGCCGUCCGGCUUGACGUUACCUCUGGAGGAAGCCCUGGCUAACUCCGUGCCAGCAGCCGCGGUAAUACGGAGAGGGCAAGCGUUGUUCGGAAUCACUGGGCAUAAAGAGCACGCAGGCGGAUUGGACAGUCGGUUGUGAAAGCCCGGAGCUCAACUCCGGAAUAGCUUCCGAAACUACCAGUCUGGAGGACGAGAGGGGAGAGUGGAACUUCUGGUGGAGCGGUGAAAUGCGUAGAUAUCAGAAGGAACACCGGUGGCGGAAGCGACUCUCUGGCUCGUUUCUGACGCUGAGGUGCGAAAGCUAGGGUAGCGAACGGGAUUAGAUACCCCGGUAGUCCUAGCCGUAAACGAUGGGCACUAAGUAGAGGGGUUU